rnacentral:rRNA from 1 species
AACGAACGCUGGCGGCAUGCCUAACACAUGCAAGUCGAACGAUCCCUCCGGGCGUAGUGGCGCACGGGUGCGUAACGCGUCGGAAUCUUCCUUUCGGUUCGGCAUACCUCUGGGACACGUGAGCUAAUACCGGAUAACGUCGCAAGACCAAAGAUAUAUCACAGCAAGAUGAGCCGGCGUAGGAUUAGCUUGUUGGUGAGGUAAAGGCUAACCAAGGCGCGGAUCCUUAGCUGGUCUGAGAGGAUGCGCAGCCACACUCGGACUGAGAUACGGCCCGGAAUACUACGGGAGGGGGCAGAGGCGUAUCGUGGCAAAGGGGCGGGAGCAUGAAAGAGCUAUGGCGCGUAAGUCAUGAUGGCCUGAGAGUAGUAAAGCUCUUUUAACCGGGGCGAUUAUGACGGUACCCGAAGAAUAAGCCCCGGCUAACUUCGUG